UUUGUUGGCUUGUUGAUCUGUUGCAAAUUUAUACACUAACAUGGUCAUGCCACACUCGUAGGCAAAUAGUUAGGCUGAAAUUUUUUCUUUCACCGGUGAUCUGUUCUCUUUGUGCUCUUACAGUAAAUCAAUGUCUUCUGUAUCUCCAGUUCCAAUGACAGAAAAUCUAUAUUUGGACUAUUUUGGAAAGGAAUUCGGAAGCAUAAGUGAUUAUGGUCAAGAUGAGUGGAGCAAACUCAAUGAAAAAGUUGUUAGAAAUUUAUUGAACACUGUUGUCCCGGUGGCGUCAUUCAUUGGAAAUAAGAUGUAUUUUGGAUGCACAGGCAUUGUAGUCGAAAGCAAUGAAGCUGGUGCAAGUAUUCUCACAUCAGCAAGUCUUGUUAGAUCUGACGAUGAUGACAGGAAUAUGAAAUCAAUCUUAAUGAUUCAAGUACGCCUUCCAAAUGGGGGAUUCGAAGCUACCAUUGGGCGGGUGGCACACUAUGAUUUAGAUUAUAACGCUGCUGUUAUCAUCAUCCCAUCUUCUCGUUGUCUUCGAGCUGCAUGUUUUGAUCGUCACAUGGAAUUUGGGUCCCCUAGCAAUGUAGUAGCUGUAGGGCGUUGGUUCUAUUCAGGCAGAUUUAUGGCCACAGCUGGGAUAUUGACUGAUGAACCAAACAGAGAUUAUCCUGAACACAUGAGGAUCUCCACGUGUAAAAUCCCUAUGGUUAUGACUGGAGGGCCCCUUAUUGAUUCGGGUGGGAACUUUGUGGGCAUGAACUUUUAUUCUAUGGACAGGACUCCACUACUACCAAGCAACAAAAUUGUUGAUUUCUUGGUGCUCAAACGCGUAAUCAAAUCAGGUACAGAAAAAACUUUGAAAAGAAAAUAUGAGAGCCGUUGCAGGAGCAAAAUUGAUAAUGAAGGUCCAGAGGUAAUUUUGAAAAGCAUAUCAGAGAAACCUGCAUCUCUUUUGCCCAGUUCUGAAGGUACAUCAAGUGGAGAGAGUGAAUCAGAAGAAUGCGUGGAUGAGGAAUUUUGUUUCUUCCCUGAUUUUCACGAGCCCUUACCGGUUAAUGAAUUCACAGAACUUAUCAGAAAUGAUCUUAAACCCCGUGGUUAUGCCAUAGCAACAAGGCUUGAGGGGGGUAUGCACUUAGUUAAUACUUUUGAAGAAGAAUUUGUUGAAGAUACUUGGUGCAAACUCAGUAAAAAGGUUGCUUCAGAUACAUCCCGAAGUGUUGUUUCACUUGCUUCAUUCAAAGAAGAUCAAAGGUUCUUUGUUUGUACGGGCGUAUUUAUAGAUUGCAUCGGAUCCACCUCAAGAAUUCUGACUUCAGCAAGUUUGAUUCGAAGUUCUCCUGAUGAAAACAAUAUUGCUGAUAACUUGAAAAUUCAAGUGUACCUUCCAAAUAAACUAGUUGUCACAGGGACAUUGCAGCAUUACAAUUUGGAGUAUAAUGUUGCUGUGAUCAGUGUCAUGGGUUUUCGUUGCCUGCGAACAGCAGAAUUUCACAAUCAAGUGCAAAUCGAACCUCAGAGGGAGGUGGUAACUGUUGGGCGUGUUUUUGAGUCAGGCAAGCUGAUGGCCACAAGCGGGAUAGUGACUGGAAAAGAAAGCACACUGGACUGCAAAGAGCUUAUGGUCACCACUUGUAAAAUCACUAAGGCUGGUAUUGGAGGACCCUUGAUUGAUCUUGAUGGGAAUUUCCUUGGUAUGAACUUUUAUGGUAGGAAAGAAACAUAUUUUCUACCAAGGAAUAUGAUCCUCGGAUUAAUUAAGCAUUUUGAGGCAGAACGGGACUGUUUGUUGGAUUAAUCCAGGCCUAGGUCGUUCAUGAGACAUGCUAAGCUAGUUUCCUAUUGCGCCACGUUUCUCCUAGGUUUUGUUUAAGCUAUUUCAAUUGCUUUGGACAUUCAACUUUUUUUUGUCUGUUUGUAGAUCUGUAACUAGAGACGUUAUAUACAGCAAGGCAAACAGAUGGCCUGUGCCCGUGCCACGUUGGUCUUAUCCUUCUAGUAGGGCACGACGUCGCCAAAAACUUUAAAGACAUGACUAGAUGUUUUGGUUGUGCUUUUUGGUCGGGGUUUUUUUCGGAUUUCGGGUCAAAAUUUGGCCCGUACCUGGCCUAUACAUUCGUCGGGUUGGGUUGUGUUUUUUUUCUGGAUGGCUCGGGUCGGGUUCGUCGAGUCAGGCGGUCCAUGAUCAGAUCUAUUCCAGAUGCAAAGCAUGUAAAUAUAAACACUUUUUUCAUUUAUUCAGAUAUAUAUUUAAAGGGGAGGAGUUAUGGUUCAAAUACCGA